UGGACUGGACGCCGGCUUCCCGCUGGCCGCUAGGCCAGUGCCCUCUGCAGGGCUCAGGGGCUGCCAGCUGGAAGGUCAGGGUCCACGGGGCUGAAGCUGGGGCGGUCACUCACCGCUCCUCCUCGAAGGGCUAAGCAGGUCAGGAUAUCCUGUCUGCAUCCACAUGGCCAGCAAUUGAAGACCCGGAGGAGCUCUUUGUCCCUACGGAGGACUACUACGAGGUGGUGCAGCUGUGCACCCAUCUUCCAGCCCUGCUUCCCUGACAGGUGACCAUCCCUGGCCCAGGUGACACUGCACCGGGAGUCCCCCCUGGGAUGGACGUCUCCUUUGACGCGAAGAAGGGCUUCACCAUCCACUGGCCCUGAGCUUCCUGGGCUGGCUCCCUCUUCUGCUUGGCCAUCUCGGUGGCUUGAAACAAGUAUCUAUAGCAUACCUGCUGGUCAACAUCAACUGUGUGUCGGUCUAGGGCUCCAGGUGGGCAGGGAAGGGGAGGGUAUGGGACAGAUACCUCCUUUGGUAACCUCACGUUUGGGAUGUGUAGAUUACAUUAUGGAGCUCUACACAACCCGUCGGCUUUCAAUAACACUCCAUGAGGUCAGCCACUUUCUCCAGCCAGCCCGCACCAGCCCAGGCUUUCCAUCCACCUCCCUCUCCUCAAGCAAGACCUGCCUUCCUCCCCCGAACGCACUGUCCAAGCUUCAGCAACAUCAGUACAACUUAAGAGCUUCAGUGGGACCUGUACGGUUCUGGGUGAGCCAGGGAUCGCUGUGGACUUCAGCUGGGAAUCUCCAGGGCAGACGGUCGGCAGAGAGUAAGGGGGGCUGCGUGCACAUGUGUCUGUGGUGGGUUGGGCCAGGGGGAUGGGAGUGAGGGAUUAGGGUCGGGGCCGAGAGCGACCGUGGCAGAAUGGAACCACUGCUUGACUGAAAAUCUGACGGCCCUGGAUUCUCGUCUCAACUCUGACACGGCUCCUCUGAGGGACCUGGGGCAAGUCGCUUCCCUUUCCUGGGCCUCAGUUUCCUCAUUUGUCAAACAGAACAAUUUCUCAGGUUACCGCAUAAGAAUGUAAACUUUGUUCCUCUGUUAACUGAUCCAACAAUAAUGACUGAACACCCACCACAUGCCAGACACUGUGCUAGGUGCUGAGAGAGUCAAAAAGAGGAAUGAUUUCUGCUCUCUGCAAGUUUAUAGUCUAAACAGGGAGGGAGAAGCGGGAAAUGGACGAAUGUGACCAUGUAGAGAAGGUAGAGUGCUACACGGAGAACAAAACAAGGCAAAGUGCCAGGGUCUACUUAAGAUGAGUGGUCGGGGAGUCAUCUCCACUCGUGUCCCCGUGACCCAAAGCCCUUGUGU